GUCCUUUGAGUGCGUUGUUGGAGCUGUACACUACCGCCUCCCCUGAUCUUAGGACGGGUCCUGCAGGAGAUUCUCCAGCGGUUGGCAGGAGCGUCUGGGCGCUUUGGUAGAGCGCCCGGAGAGCGCUGUUCUUCUCUACUGGGGGGGAGAACCAUCCCCUAGCUUGAAGAGACUCACUGUUGCAGACUUUCCACAGCAAGAAUGACGUUCCUGUUCUUAUGCUGCAGCUCUUUGCUUCUGGGUCAGAGCGAUCUGCUGUGGGGCGAAGAUCUCCAUUAAGGUGCAUCAAAGCUGCCUGGUGGUGUUGGAGCACAGUUACCGCCCUUUGUGGCCUGUGUUUCCGUUCUCGUGUGUUGGCAAAGACUGACGGAGAAAGUGUGGAGCAGGGAACCCUGAUUUUGUUGGAUCAUCGUCAGCUUCCAAGGAAAAGCCGCUGAAGGAGCCAUCAUGUGUGAUCACCAGGGCGAUCAAUAAAAAAGUGGAACUGGAGAGAGCAACCAAGAAAGGAAAUUUUUUUCCCUUCCCUUGGAUAAGAAAUGCACCAGCAUCUGAGGAGUGACCUUCGUGGCAUUACACAGACCUACAAAGCAGAGGUAGGUGGCUGAGGAAGAAGCACACUGGAG
rnacentral:lncRNA from 1 species